rnacentral:rRNA from 1 species
UACGUAGGGUGCGAGCGUUGUCCGGAAUUACUGGGCGUAAAGAGCUCGUAGGUGGUUUGUCGCGUUGUUCGUGAAAUCUCACGGCUUAACUGUGAGCGUGCGAGCGAUACGGGUAGACUGGAGUACUGCAGGGGAGACUGGAAUUCCUGGUGUAGCGGUGGAAUGCGCAGAUAUCAGGAGGAACACCGGUGGCGAAGGCGGGUCUCUGGGCAGUAACUGACGCUGAGGAGCGAAAGCGUGGGGAGCGAACAGG